rnacentral:rRNA from 1 species
AAUAGAUACCCCGGUAGUCCACGCCGUAAACGGUGGGCACUAGGUGUGGGCGACAUUCCACGUCGUCCGUGCCGCAGCUAACGCAUUAAGUGCCCCGCCUGGGGAGUACGGCCGCAAGGCUAAAACUCAAAGGAAUUGACGGGGGCCCGCACAAGCGGCGGAGCAUGUGGCUUAAUUCGACGCAACGCGAAGAACCUUACCAAGGCUUGACAUACACCGGAAAACCCUGGAGACAGGGUCCCCCUUGUGGUCGGUGUACAGGUGGUGCAUGGCUUUCGUCAGCUCGUGUCGUGAGAUGUUGGGUUAAGUCCCGCAACGAGCGCAACCCUUGUCCCGUGUUGCCAGCAGGCCCUUGUGGUGCUGGGGACUCACGGGAGACCGCCGGGGUCAACUCGGAGGAAGGUGGGGACGACGUCAAGUCAUCAUGCCCCUUAUGUCUUGGGCUGCACACGUGCUACAAUGGCCGGUACAAUGAGCUGCGAUACCGCGAGGUGGAGCGAAUCUCAAAAAGCCGGUCUCAGUUCGGAUUGGGGUCUGCAACUCGACCCC